rnacentral:rRNA from 1 species
AUGGAGGAUGAACCUCAGAUAGACGAUGCGAAUGGAACAACAACAAUAGUAGGAGAUCAAAGGGGUACCAGCAGCAGCAGCUUCGGCUGUGAUGAUUGGAACAAUGCCUGCUCAACUUCUGGGCUUGAGAAUACUAAUGGACAAUUUGUUGGUCAUCACUCAGCUGGACCUUCACUCAGUUUUGAGCAACAGCAGCAGCUGCCACCGUCGAUCUGCCACAUCCUCUCAUCAUCAUUCUCAUGUUAUAAUCCAUCCUCCUCGUGCCAGCCGGUCAUGACAUCGACUACUCUUCUGCAGUCCAUGGGAGGCAACGAUCACCAUCCAUCGCUGCUCCUCGAUGGCUUCCCUACAUUCUGCCCUUCCAUGCCCCUAAUGUCGCCGCCGCCACUACCGGAGAACGGCACCGGCUGUCAUGAUGCCAACCAGCCAUCGCAGAUGCUGGCAACGGAUGAGCAAGUUGCGGCUGCUCAUCACCAGCAAGAUCCAAGCACCAUUGCUAAGAAGCGAGAGGAAAGGGACAGGGCCAAGCAAAGGUACAACGAGAAGAAGAAGAACAGAAAGUUCUGCAAGCAGAUCAUGUAUGCCUCCCGCAAAGCGAGAGCGGACACACGGAAGCGGGUCAAGGGCAGAUUCGCAAAGGCUAGCAACGAACACCAACACAUACUACACUCAGAUGCAGGAUAA